rnacentral:rRNA from 1 species
CCUACGGGAGGCAGCAGUGAGAAAUAUUGGUCAAUGGGUGGGAGCCUGAACCAGCCAAGCCGCGUGAGGGAAGAAGGUACAGCGUAUCGUAAACCUCUUUUGUCAGGGAACAAAGGCGGGGACUAGUCCCCGGAUGAGGGUACCUGAAGAAAAAGCAUCGGCUAACUCCGUGCCAGCAGCCGCGGUAAUACGGAGGAUGCGAGCGUUAUCCGGAUUGAUUGGGUUUAAAGGGUGCGGAGGCGGCCUGUUACGUCAGCGGUAAAAGCCCGGGGCUCAACCCCGGCGAGCCGUGGAAACUGGCGGGCUGGAGUUGGAGAGAAGUACGCGGAAUGCGCGGUGUAGCGGUGAAAUGCUUAGAUAUCGCGCAGAACCCCGAUUGCGAAGGCAGCGUACCGGCUCCACACUGACGCUGAGGCACGAAAGCGUGGGUAUCGAACAGGAUUAGAUACCCCUGUAGUC